ACGUAGGGUGCGAGCGUUAAUCGGAAUUAUUGGGCGUAAAGCGUGCGCAGGCGGCGCCAUAAGACAGCUGUGAAAUCCCCGGGCUUAACCUGGGAACUGCGGUUGUGACUGUGGUGCUAGAGUACGGCAGAGGGAGGUGGAAUUCCUGGUGUAGCAGUGAAAUGCGUAGAGAUCCGGAGGAACCCCGGUGGCGAAGGCGACUUGCUGGGCCUGAACUGACGCUCAGACGCGAAAGCAUGGGGAGCGAACGG
rnacentral:rRNA from 1 species